UCUGCGAGGCCACAGGUGCUGGGGGGACAUCAGUAGCUUGUGAGUCAGAUGAGCCACCACCCAGGGGCUCCAAAUCCUUGGCAGAGCCCAAGCCCGCCCUCACACUUUUCUCUUUACACCAGGAUGUCUUAACGCACACGCCCACAGGGCCAGGCUGAUGAGGUCCCACCAAAACUGGAGUGAACACAUAACCCCCCAACGACAGGGGCUACGGGAAAGGGGACAGCAGCAAUGUGGUGCCAGGUGCUGCAAAGCAGGAGGGGAAGAAGGGACUCCGACUGAGGGGAGCUGAACUCCGACCAGGCAGUGAGGAAGCCACCACCACGUAGGUGGCCAACCCCCAACCCACAUCACACCCCAAGCCCUCCAAAGGAACUGCCUGCACCAGAAAGGCCCUUCCUUCUCUGCGAAAUCUAACACCCCAAAGGGAAAGACCCAGAGAUACUGACUUGGCCGAGUCCCCCACAGGCCCACCCUGGCUCCUGUCACUAAAGCACAGCCAACAAACUCCCCGCUGAGCUCAGGGCUCCCAGGGAGCUUUCUGUCCUCCACUCUUAUCUUGGAGACAACCAAGAUUCGUGGGAGGUAGAAGGCCUCUACCUCGAAGUGAGAGACCAAGCUAAAAAAAAAAAAAAGAAAAAAAAAGGCAACUUGGAAGAAACAGAGACUAUGCAGGGAGGAAAAAACCUGCAAAGAACUAUCACUAACCUCGGGAGAAAAGAGAAGAGAUCACACCCACAAAAUAAAAAUAGGACACUGCUUAAAAAAAAAAAAAAAAAGAAAAAAGAAAAAAGUCAAAACAAAAAUGGAAUCUUAGAAAUUAAAAACAUGGUGGUAGAGGGGUUCCCUGGGUGGGUCAGUCAGUAAAGCUUCUGACUCUUGGUUUUGGCUCAGGUCAUGACCUCAUGGUUUGUGGGAUCGAGCCCUGUGUCAAGCUCUCCGCUAACAGUGAGGAGCCUGCUUGGGAUCCUCUCUCCCCCUGCCCCUCCCCAACGUGCACACAUGUGUGCUCAUGCUCUCUCAAAAAUAAACAAAUAUUAAAAAAACAUAACCAUGAUAGAAAUAAAAUAACUUAACAAAAGGUGUAGAGGAUAAACCUGCACAAUUUCCCAGAAAGUAAAGCAUAAAGAAAAUGUGGCAGAAAAAAAUUUACAGGAUGAUUAAAGGGAUCCAACAUCUUGAGUAACAGGUCACAGAGAAAACAAAGAGAGAAGACAAAAAUGGUAUACAAAAUUAAAGAACAUUUCCCAAGCCAUGGACGUGGCUUCUAGACUGAAAAGGUGUAUCGAGUGGCUAGUGCAAGAGAUGUGAACAGACCCCUCUUCAAGACAUAUUGCAAAAUGAUACUGGGGAUAAAGACAAUUCUACAAACUUCCAAAAUGGAAAAAGAGGUCUUACAGAAAGAUCAAGAAACUGAAUGGCCCCAGAUACCUCUUCACAGAAAUGUCCUCAAAAUGAUGUAAGAAAAUUAUUUCCAAUCUAGAUUUCCAUACCUAAAUUGGCAAUCAUGUAUGAGAAUAGAAAAAAGGCAUUUUUAGCCACACAAAGUGUGCAAAACAAAAUUUACCUCUCAAGUAGCUUUUCUAAAAAAAACUACUGGAGAAUGGACUCUACCAAGAGAAAAGAGAAAACCAAGAAAGAAGCAAGGGAUACAAAAAACGGAAAAGCUAACAUAAGGCAGACGGAAGGGAACCCUCAGGGGAACAGUGAAGGGGACUCCCAAGAUUUCCGCACUGCUGGGGACAAGGUCACACGUGUGCAUGGGGCAGGGGCACGAGAGACAGACACGCUGAAGACUGCCACUGUCACCAACCAAGCUGCCAUCAGGCCACUCUUUUACCUGAGGGCAGGCAAGCCAGCCCAGGGCCUUGGCUUAUGUUGACCGUAUGCAGGCGACACUCACCAUGCCCUCCCCCCACACCCUGAGGCUCUGCCGAGGACACGUGUGUUCUGCCGUGGUUGCUCCGCACAGGAGAGCUCUGGUCCCGGAGGGUUUGGAUCAGAACACGUAGAGCAGUCCCUCCCUCUGACCACACUUCUGCUGGUCGCCAGUCACUGCGUCACUCUGCGGCCCUGCCAGCGCUCUCCCUGUGCCAGGCCCUUGGUUUCCGAGAACUCCCUCAUGACUCUUCCUACCGACUCCCCUGGAAGGGACCCAGUCCAGACGAGACUGCAGAUCUUAUCUUUCACCGGGAGACUUCACAGAUGUGGAAUAUUGACCUGUCCUUGCCUCAUCAGGGGUGGGCUUACUACUCAGGUCUUCACGACUGAAGAAUGUAUUAUUUGGAGCUUCGCACUAGGUGGUAAACUAUCAAAUAAGCCAAGAACGAUUAACAUAAACUUGGGAGAAUGGUAAUUUGUGACGAGAGGGAGCAAGACGCAGCUGAGGGAGCCUGUCGAGCGGACUUCUGAGAUACGAGUCAUGUUUCCGAUUCUUCACCUGGGUAAUCAGUACACAGGUGUUCGUUUCAUUACUGUUUAAAGUGUACCUGAUUAAAAAAGUCCUCUGUAUAUAUGAUAGAUUUCACUAUAAAAUAUAUAUUUUAACAACAGUCAAGUAUUCCGAUUCCUUGAGACUCAAGAAGCCACUAGAAGCAGCCCGGCAGACCCUGCUUCUGCCAGCACUCACCAAUUUUUGCAGGCCUUCCUCUUUUUCCCUUCUCCACAUGAAGGAGCCCGCAGGGAGGCUGGAUCCGGCUUCUUAAAAUCUUCUGGAUCCAGCAGCUCAUCGGAGUCGAUGAGAUCCUGGAGAGUGUUCGAAGAAGUUAGUGACACGGUCACGAUCUCUGCUAACAGAAGGCUGAAAAAAGGGUUGUGGUGGCAGCGGGUUUAUAGGUCCACGUAAAGAGGGUCUCCACUGCCCUAUUCUGGGCUGAUCAUCACACUCCAGCUGACCACUGGAGGGAUCUAAACUAUGUCCACAGAAGAUGCAUUCGGUUGUGAGGGGACUGGGAAGUAAUUUACAACGUGCAGAGAAUGUGAGUGUGUGUGUAUGUAGGGAGGGAGCAGGAAGAACAAAAAGAGAAGUGUUAUAUUUAUUCAAAUAUAUGAAGGGCUGUCAUGUGAAAAAGGGAAUGAAAUAUGUUUUAUAUCAUUCCCGAGAAAAAGACAAAUAACGAUACAUACAUGUGUGCAAUUCUUUGAUAAAUGUGUGGACAAUUCAUCUGUAAGUUCUACGGGG